CUUUUAAUUCACAGUUCAGGACCCGCCAUGGAAACCCUAUCCAUUCCUGCAUUUGGCAGGAACAGGGAAGCCAAGAGGAAAUCCUAGUACUUGGUGCCUUCCCAUAGGGAGUUUGCAAUCUAAUCUAAAAGACCAGAACACUCUGUCAAUGCAGUCUGAACCAGGAUCCAUUCCCAGGGGGAGCAGCCAAAUUGCUCAGCCAGGUCGUCUUGCAGAGUGGCAUCCUUCCUCUGCAGCUCAUUCUAACUUAGCAUGUGAAUGAGCAUUUAGAGAUGAAGACAGAAUCGAACUGAAUCCCAAAGUCUGACUCACCUGCUUCUUUCCCCUCUCCUGGACAACACAGGGGAAAAAAAAGUACAACUCUUCCCCCACGUAGUACCAGCAGGGUAACCCGAGAACAUCCGUUUAGCACGUCUGUCCCUGCAAAAAGGACCUUCCAGUGACACCAAGCUGAGCGUAUCCUCACUCUAUUUAUAGGUGCUGUUUGUUUAAUUUGAGUCCAGUCUCUAAGAAUAAGUAAUGAACUCAUCUUGGGCACCAGCCAGAGCCUACAACUCUGAGACGACCCGUAAACCCCUUUCCCUUUCCUUCUGGUUCUGGAAGGGAUUCUGUAGUUCAAAGAACAGAUCUGUAAACUCUUUGUCAUCCACAAAUGAUUGACAAAGACUGAAUAUCUCCAGCCCUUCGUUGGUUGAUCUUCGGAUAAAAAGAGACCUCGUUGGGACUCAGAUGUCCCCCAGUAAGGAGGCCAUGGCCUUGGAGAAGCAAAAUCCAUUCCUUUUCAGUAUCCUUCUGACUUGGUAGCAGAAACUGGGGUCAGGUUAUCUUCUAAGGUCUGAUACCAUUCCUGAGAUGCUGUUUUGUUUUGUUUUUUUCAGGCUAUGUGAUAAGGACCAGGAGCCAUGACCCACUUAAACUUUAAACAUCUAACCCCAGAACUGGUUGCACUUGAGUCCAAA
rnacentral:lncRNA from 1 species